GGGAUUUUUCCUAUAAGCAGUGGGGAGCCAUGGGAGGGAUUUGAGUAGGGUAGUGACAUAGUUAACAUUGCAUUUUAAAUAGAUGUUCUGACGGCUGUGCUGAAAACAGAAGGGAGGGGGAAGAGACUGGAGAUGCUAAAAUUGGCAGGAAUGAUGGUCGCCUUAGCCAGAGGAGGUGGCAGAGGAGAUGGUGAGAAGUGAGUGGAUUCCAGAGAUGUGUAGGAGGUAAAAUGAACCAUUUAUUGGGCCCUGUGCUAACUGCAUUACAGUGAUCAUCUCGUUGAAUCAGUGCAACAACCUUAUAGGUAUCAUUUUAAACCAUCUUACCUGUCCAGGGUCAAACAAGAAGUAUCAGAGGUGGCAUUCAAAUUCAAGCAGUUUGAUGCCAAGAUCCAUGCUUUUAACCCCUCCUGUGUACUGCUUCCCCAAUAAGGCAACAACAGGGAAGUAUCCAUUACAUAUAUGUGUGAAUUUUCAUGUUUAAAAAAACAGGUAUUGAGCUGGGCAUGGUGACUCAUGCCUGUCAUCUCAGCACUUUGGGAGGCUGAGGCGGGAGGAUCACUUGAGCCCAGGAGUUCAAGACCAGCCUGGGCAACAAAGUGAGACCUCGUCUCUACAAAAAUAUUUAAAAAUUAGCUGGGCGUGGUGUCUCACGCCUGUGGUCCCAGCUACAUAGGAGGCUGAGGCAGGAGGAUCGCUUGAGCCCAGGAGGUCGAGGCUGCAGUGAGCCAUAUUCAUGCCACUGGACUCCAGCCUGGGCAACACAGGGAAACCCUGUCUCAAAAAAAAGAUAUUCAUUCAGAUGGUUCAAAAUUCAAAAGGUAGGCCAGAUGCAGUGGCUCACACCUGUAAUCCCAGCACUUUGGGAGGCCAAGUGGACAGUGGAUCACUUAAGGUCAGGAGUUCACAACCAGCCUGGCCAACAUGGCAAAACCCCAUCUCUACUAAAAAAAAAAAAAAAAAAAAAAAAAAUAGCCGGACGUGGUGGUUUGUGCUUGUAAUCCCAGCUACUCAGGAGGCAGAGGUAGGAGAAUCGUUUGAACCCAGGAGGCGGAGGUUGCAGUGAACUGAGAUUGCACCACUGCACUCCAGCCUGGGCAACAGAGUGAGACUCUGUCUCAAAAACAAAACAAAACAAAACUACUGAGAUGCUGUUUUUCAUCUUUCAGGGUGGUGAGUAUCAAAAAGUUUGAUAAUGUUCCAUACUGGCAGGUUGGCCAGAAACAAGCGUUCUCAUAAAUCGCU
rnacentral:lncRNA from 1 species